ACCAGCGGAGGGAUCAUUAUAGAGUUUUCAACUCCCAACCCAUGUGAACUUACCUAUGUUUUUGCUGUUCUGUUGCUUUUGGCCGGUGGCUUCCUGGAAACGGGCGGCCCGCAAGGUUGUCAGGCGCUCCUUUGGGGCGUCGGGCGCCGGCCAAAGGUAGCCGUUUCGGCUGUUUAUAAACGCUUGCUUGCAAUGGCUCGUCUGAGCAUUAAAGAAAAGACAAAAUUGUCAAAACUUUCAACAACGGAUCUCUUGGUUCUGGCAUCGAUGAAGAACGCAGCAAAACGCGAUAAGUAAUGUGAAUUGCAGAAUUUAGUGAAUCAUCAAAUCUUUGAACGCACAUUGCGCCUGCCAGUAUUCUGGCAGGCAUGCCUGUCCGAGCGUCAUUUCCACCCUCAGGCGCCUUUUUGCGUCUGCUGUUGGGGCUUCUGCGGCCUAGCCGCAGGCCCCGAAAGCAAGUGGCGGGCUGGCUGGUCGGCUCCGAGCGCAGUAAUUUUUCUUCGCUUAGGAUGCCCCGAUUUGCGCCCUGCCGUAAAAGCCUUUAAUUUUUUAGGUUGACCUCGGAUCAG
rnacentral:rRNA from 1 species